rnacentral:rRNA from 1 species
GAUCUGGCUCAGAUUGAACGCUGGCGGCAGGCUUAACACAUGCAAGUCGAGCGGGGAUAGGGUGCUUGCACCUGAUUCCUAGCGGCGGACGGGUGAGUAAUGCUUAGGAAUCUGCCUAUUAGUGGGGGACAACGUUCCGAAAGGGACGCUAAUACCGCAUACGUCCUACGGGAGAAAGCAGGGGAUCUUCGGACCUUGCGCUAAUAGAUGAGCCUAAGUCGGAUUAGCUAGUUGGUGGGGUAAAGGCCU